rnacentral:tRNA from 1 species
GCGCACGUGGUGGAAUUGGCAGACACGCUACUUUGAGGUGGUAGUGCCGUAAGGCGUACAGGUUCAAGUCCUGUCGUGCGCACCA